UGGGGAAUCUUGGACAAUGGGGGCAACCCUGAUCCAGCAAUGCCGCGUGAGUGAAGAAGGCCUUCGGGUUGUAAAGCUCUUUCGGACGGGAAGAAAUCGCGCUCACCAAUACUGGGUGUGGAUGACGGUACCGUAAGAAGAAGCACCGGCUAACUACGUGCCAGCAGCCGCGGUAAUACGUAGGGUGCGAGCGUUAAUCGGAAUUACUGGGCGUAAAGCGUGCGCAGGCGGAUGGAUAAGACAGAUGUGAAAUCCCCGGGCUUAACCUGGGAAUUGCGUUUGUGACUGUUUAUCUCGAGUACGGCAGAGGGAGGCGGAAUUCCACGUGUAGCAGUGAAAUGCGUAGAUAUGUGGAGGAACACCGAUGGCGAAGGCAGCCUCCUGGGCCGAUACUGACGCUCAUGCACGAAAGCGUGGGGAGCAAACAGG
rnacentral:rRNA from 1 species